AAAUUCACCUGCUUAUAAUUCCCUCUUUCACGCAAUCAUAUACUGUGUCAUUUCAAGCAUCUCAAUGUUUCAAUGCGGACAAUGCCCAAAACAGAGAUCAAGCCAUGCUCCAAUCCAGUCCAUGGAAAAAUUGUUGGGACAGGUAGAAACUCUUAUGCUACAAGCUACGGCAUCUGCAACUUUCCACUGAUUAUAGUGUGGACUCGGACAUACAGGAAUUGAUGAAAUUCAUUGUCUGAUUACAUUUUGAUCCAGAAUACAUUCAAGGAUGAAAAAAUGGCUCAUAAGAUAUUUGUCAAGUCUCGGAGGUUGCUCCAAGAAAGACUGGAUUGGACAAUCAUGAGCUCAGUUAUAACAAAUUUACUCGCCCAGUCUUUCAACUGUGCAGGACGCGGUGGAUAAGAAGGAGUGAGUGGGACGCCCUUAGUUUCUGCUAUUAAAGGUACCGCUCUGGAUGAUCUGGCAACGAACUCCGAUUAAUUUUAUUACAUGUAUACAUAUUUGUAAAAUAAAGACAUUUUGUUA